CAGGAAGCAUCAGGAAGCGAAUCAACAAUGGACUUAUGGCCCACAGCUGCACUGUUAGCCUCUGCCUGGAUCCACUGCACUCAGCCGCCCGAGGCUAAUGGACACACCUGUCCAGGUGAUGGACAGAGCGGCCGUCCAGUCCCGCCGCUGCCCUACUGGUCACCUACUGGUGGGGGAACAAAGAGGCACAGUGGAAAUCUCCAACAUCAGCAGCUAGGAUGCCCUAAAGGCUUUAAUCAGUAAUGUAUUUUCUCUUGGAGAUAUAGAAGUAGGUUUAUUUGAUGUGCAGCAUUUGUUUAUUCAAAUAAAUCCUGCAAUUAAUUAGGAUGCGGCGUCUACCAGAGGCAUAUAUAUGGAAAAUGUGUUUUGUAGCUUUCUAAGAUAGGCUUCUGUUAUAUUUGUAUGUGACAUAUGCGAAACUAAGAUAAACUUUAACUGGACACAUUUCUAUGUGUGUAAUGAAAUGUGACUUUUAAAACAAAACACAAUUUAAUAUGGAUAUAAAAACAUCUUAACUUGGAUAACAAAAUAAACAUACAGUAGUGUGUUCUAUACUGUAUGUCCUCAACAAACUGUAUGUGUUAUUGAUUAGUAUGCAAUCAGGCCUUGUGGGAAAAAGUCACUAUAAUUUGGAAAUGUCUUCACUUUCUCUUUCUAACAACAGGCAGAGCAGACGGUUGACAUGCUUAAUCGCUUCAGUCUUUAGGUCAGUCCCAAAUAGACACAGUGGGAUAACGAGGGUAAAGACAGAUUAUCCCAAAGGCCUCGUAACGACUGUAUUGUCUCCGACAUGCACGCGAAGGCAAUCCUUACAUAAUACAUUUUAUAUAAUAAAUCAGCAUAAUCUACAUCACUGCUUUGUUUUAAAUAGAAAAUUCUUAUUUGAAUAUAACUAAAAUACUCCCAUGUGUCAUUGCUCUUGAACACUGACCUUAACCGAGGCAAGUGACGCCUGCAGUUCUUUAGAUGUUGUUGUGGGGUCUUUUGUGACCUCUUGGAUGAGUUGUCACUGCGCUUUUGGGAUAAUUUUGGUUGGUCGGGAGUGGCUGGUUCCAUGUUCUUGCCAUUUGUGGAUAAUGGCUCUCACCGUGGUUCGCUGGAGUCCCAAAGCUUUAGAAAUGGCUUCAUAACGUUUUCCAGACUGAUCUCAAUUCAUCUCGGUUAAGUCAUAUUUUAA